ensembl:lncRNA
AUGAUAGAUACAACAACAACUUUGGCUUCCACAACAACUCCUCCAGCAUCUUCAACUGUAGCACAAAUUUUGACAACUGAUGCAGCAGCAACAACCAUGCCUGACACCACAAAAACUACUGAUGCUGAAACAACUUUGGAUUCCACAACCACCCCUCCAGCGUUAACAGGUCAUGCAACAACCCCAACUAUGCCUGACAUCACAACAAAUAUUUAUGCAACAACAACUUUGGCCAUAACCACCCAUCCAACAUCCUCAACUGUGGCACCAUUGUCAACAACAAAUGUUGCAUCAACCACAAGUAUGCUUGACACCACAGCAACUACUGAUGUGACAGCAACUUUGGCUCCUACAACCACUUCUCCAGAUUCCUCAACAGUGGCAAAAACAUCGACAACUGAUGGAACAACAACUAUGCCUGACUUUACAACAAUUAUUGAUGCAACAACUUUAGAUAGCACAUCCACCCUUUCAACAUCUUCAACUGUGGCACCAAUGUCAACAAAAACUGAAGUGGCAACCACAAUUCUCUCUGACACCACAGAAACUACUGAUGCAAAAACAAAUUUGGCUUCCGGAACCAUUCCUCAAAUAUCAUCAACUAUAGCACCAGCAUCAUCAACUGAUGCAGCAACCACAACUAUGCCAGACACAGCAACAUCUUUGCUUAGCGCCAGCAUCCCUCCAACAUCCUCAACUGUAGCAUCAUCAGCUGGGUUAGCAACCACACCUAUGCCUGACAACACAAUAGCACUUCCAAAAACAACUACUGGUGCAACAACAACAAUUUUGGCUACCACAAGCACUACUCCAACAUCCUCAAAUGUAGCACCAACACUGACAACUGAUUCGGCAACUAAAACUAAGCUUGAAUCCUCAACCACUAUUGGUGUAACAACAAGAACCCCUCAAAUAUCCUCAACUAUGCUCAAGCCUUACAUCACAACAAUUAUUGAAACAACAACAAAUUUGGUUUCCAAAACCACUAAUCCAACAUUCACAACCACAGCACAGGUGUUGACAAGUGACUCAGCAAUGACAACUAUUGCUGAUGCAACAACAGUACUUCCAACAACAACUAGUCAUGAAACAACAACCUUGGCUAUCACUAGCACCCCUCUAGAGUCCUCAUCUAAUGUAGCAACCACAACUUUGCCUGAACAUACAACAACUACUGGUGCAAAUACAACAACAACAACAACAAAUAAUAUUGAUGCAGCAGUCACAACUAUGUCUGAAAUAACAACAGUGUUUCCAACAAAUGCUACUAUUGUUGAGACAACAACAACUUUGGUUUCCACAACAACAAACAAUCCUACAACAAUUACUGUGGCUGAAACCACAACAUAUCUUCCAAAUACAGCUACUGGCGAGACAAUAACAACUUUGGCCACAUCUCCAACAUCCUUAUCUAUAGCACAAAAGUUGACUGACACAACCAUCCCUUCAACAUCCUCAAAUAUAGCACCAAAAUCAACAACUGAUGCAGCAACCACAACUUCACCUAAAACAACAACAGUACUUUCCAAAACAACUAUUAGUGCAACAGCUUUGGCUGCCAAAAGUACCCCUCCAGUGUCCUCAUCUGUAGCACCAACAUUGACAACUGAUGCAGCAAACGCAACUAUGGCUGAAACAGAAACAGUUCUUCCAACAAAAACUUUUGGUGCAACAACAAAAUCUGUUCUAGCACCAACAAUGACAUCUGAUGCAACAAUCAGAACUUUGCCUGAAACAUCAAUGGUAUUUUCAAAAACAACUAUUGGUGCAACAACAACAACUUUGACUAUUACAAGUGCUCCUCCAGCAUCCUCAUCUUUUGCACCAACUUUGACUACUGGUGCGGCAGUCACAACUAUUCCUGAAACAAAAAAAGUCCAUCCAGCAACAACUGUUGGUGCAACAACAGCUUUGUCUACAUUAUCUGUUCUAGCACCAAUGUCAGCAUCUGAUGCUGCUUCCACAACUAUGGCUGACACCACAACAAAUAUUGAUUCAAAAACAUCAACUUUGACUCCCACAAGCACUCCUCCAACAUCCUCAACUGUAGCACAGUUCUCAAAAUCUGAUGCAACAACCACUACUAUGCUUGGAACGACAACAGUCCUUCCAGCAAAGCCUAUUAGUGCAACACCAACAACUUUGGUUAACACAAGCACCCUUGCAACAUCUUCACUUGUAGAACCAAUGUUGACAGCUGAUGCAGCAAUCACAACUAUGGCUGACACCACAACAAUUACUGGUGCAACAACAAAUUUGGCCAACACAAGCACCCCGCCAAUAUCAUCAGUUAUACCACCAACGUCAACAUCUGAUGUGGCAGCCAAAACUAUGGCUGACACCACAACAAGUAUUGGUGCAACAGCAACAACUUUGACAACCACAACUAUGGCUGACACAACAACAAAUAUUGGUGCAACAACAGCAAAUUUGGUUAACACAAGCACUCCUCCAACAUCCUCAACUGUAGCACAAUUGUUGACAACUGAUUCAGCAACCACAGCUAUUCCUGAAAUAACAGUGGUACUUCCAACAAUGAUUGGUGCAACAACAACAACUUUGGCUACCAGAAGUACCCUUUCAACAUUCUCCACUCUAGCUCCAACAUCAACAACCGAUACACCAACUACAACUAUGCCUGAAAAAACAUUAGCACUUCUAACAAAUGGUAUUAUUGUUGAGGCAACUAAAACUUUGGUUUCCACAACAACAAACAAUCCAACAUCUACUAUGGCUGAAACCACAACAACCCUUCCAGUAACUUUGGCCACACUUCCAACAUCCUUGACUAUAGAACAAUCUUUGGCUGCUACAACCAUCCCUCAAACAUCAUCAAAUAUAGCACCCAUGUUGACAACUGAUAGAGCAACUACAAAUUCACCCGAAACAGCAACAAUUCUUUCAGCAACAACAAUUGGUGCAACAACAACAACUCUGGCUGCCAAAAGCACCUCUCCAGCAUCCUCAUCUGUAGCACCAACAACUGAUGCAGCAACCACAACUAUGCCUGAAACAACAUCAGUCCUACCAACAACACCUAUUGGUGCAACAACAACUUUGACACAAGCACCCCUCUAACAUCAUCACUUCUAGAACCAUUGUUGACAUCUGAUGAAGAAACAACAACUGUGCCUAAAACAACAGUUCUUGAAACAACAGUUUUGUUUAACAUAAGCACCCUUGCAACAUCUUCAGUUGCAGCACCAAUGUUGACAACUGAUGCAGUAACCAAAACUAUUGGCGCAACAACAACAAAUAUCGCCAACACAAGCAUCCCUCCAUCAUUCUCAUCUUCAGCACCCUUAUCGACAAUUGAAUCAACAUCCACAACUAUGUUUGAAACAACAACAGUACUUCCUGUUACAACUACUAGUGCAACAACAACUUUGGCUGGCACAAAUACACUUCCAACAGCAACUAUAGGUGAGACAACUAUAAUCUUGGGUCUCAAAACCACAGUAGCUCCUCCAACAUUCUCAACUAUCACACAAAACACCACAACUCAUCCAGAAACUACAACUAUGCCUGCAAUUAAUACAAGUAUUGGUGAAAAAACUACAACUUUGACCCCCACAAGCACCACAACCCCUCCAACUUUGCUGGAGGAGUCAGUGACAACAACAUCCAAGAAUAUUCAUCCACAAAGCACAACAAUGUCUGAGAUGAAAAUUACUACCUUCAGUGCAUUAAAAACAGAUAUAACUGAUUCAACAACCACACCUAAUUCUAAAAUCACAACAACUAGUAGUGAAACAAUUACAACCAGAAUGUCCUCCUCAACAUUGUUGGAAGAGCCAACAACAGCACAAUCACAAGCUAUAUCUAAUUUAAAUACAACAACAGUUCCAGUGUUUACAACAACAGCUUUGACUAAUUCUCAGACAGAAAAUAAUCCUACAGUGCACUUCCUAACAUCUACAGCAGUCCUUGGCAAAACAAGCUUACCUCUAAUGAACAGAACUGGUUCAGCACUGGUUACAAGCAAACUGCAGUUUAACUCCUCAUCUCCAGUCCCCAGAGAAACUCAGGUCCUCAGUGUUAUCAAGACUCUUCUCAAAUCCAGAGAGUCACAGCUCAACAAAUCAGUUCAAGUGCUGAAUGUCACCUAUAAAAGUAAGUUUCAUUGUUCUGAGUUGAAAAGUUUUUGAAAUAUGAAUGUGCCGACUAUAAUGUGAAUGUGAAGCCAAGAUACAAUCCAUAUAUUUCCCUUCAAACAGAUAUCUCAGAGACCUCUUAUGCAAUCAUCUUUACAUUUAACCUGAUUGACAUUAGUAUACCAAAGGACCCUGCAGUAAAGAACAACACCUAUCAGCACCUGCAGAAUGUUAUCAAUAAUAUGGUAAGCAUUUAUAGUUCACCCAUUAAAAAAAAAAAAAAAAAAAAAAAGUUUGGUUUCAAUGCAGAUCUCUCACAUUUAUGAUGCAUAUGUCUUAAUAUUACUUUGCAGUUGAACACACUUCUGAAUGAACCUGGCAGUCAGGUUUUUGAAGCCAAGUCCUCCAAAUUCACGUAAGAUGACUUCAUUUUUUAAUCAUGUUUAUUCAUAUUGUUAAUUCACUGUAGCAUUUUUGUGUAUAAAACUAACAAACCUUAAAAGAUCUUAACUGGUUUGUACUUAAUCUGGUUUGCCCAUAUUGACUGAAGCUAUUGCAAAAUAUCCUCCAACUGCACCUAAUAUCCACUACCAUUUCAGAAUCAAUUUACAAUUUUGCAUUCUAUCCUUUUAAAUAUAGAGUCAUAUUUUUGCUUCUUUUACCUUUUUUAACAUUCCAAAACAUUUCCCUCUAGGAGCACAGAAAACCACAUUGAGGGCAGUAUGGAAUAUAUCUUCGACAGCAAAGAUCAACCCACCAUUUUGUUGAAGGAGCUUAAUUUACAGAACAGUAAUCAAUUUUAAUGAUCAUAUCAAUUCUAAUGAUACAAUAAAACAAAAUAAAUGGCAUGGCUGUUCAUGCCAUUUUCACUGUAUAAUUAAGUGUUUCUCAUCCAGUAAUAAAUUUUAUUUUACAGGCAUAAUAACAACGACCCUUGCAACACCAGGCACAUCUAAAACCACUAAAGGAACUACAACUUUGUAAGAAAAAUAAUCAGUCUUAUUAAAAGGGAAUUAUUUAUAUGACCUAUACUGUACAUUCCUUAUAUUUAAAUUUUCUUUUUCAGGAUUGGGAGGGUGAUUUUUUACAUUCGGCUAAUUUUUAUCACACGGGGCCCCAUACCAAGUGAGAGUCAUGUUCAAAAUUUGGUCAACGUACUGCUGGCCCCACAUCUCAGAGCUAAACAAGACACAGCACAAGCCCUGAAUGAUCCUGUGAGCUAUGUGAAUGCCAGCUAUGAGAGUGAGUUGUUCUCUUCUGCUUAGAUUUGCUUGCUGUGAAAAUAAAAUUUAAAACUAAACUAAGUUGCACAUAGCAGAAAUUUGGUAACAGGGUUUAAUUGAUAUUAAAGUUUAAUGUUUUGAUAGUCCAUGAUAAUUUUUGUAAAAUAAAGGUUACAUCACCUUAUAGCUUGCCUGUUUUAAUUAACUGUUGCUGGCUGGUUUAUUUUUAUUUAUUAUUAUUAUUAUUAUUAUUAUUAUUAUUAUUAUUAUUAUUAUUAUUAUUAUUUUAUUUAUUUAUUUAUUUAUUUUUUACUUUUUUACCUAUCCAAGCUACAAUAUAUCACUCUCCUAUUUUGAGCAGAUGGAUAAAUAUGACAUCUCACCACCUAUAUGUGUAAUCAAAUAAUUAGUUUUAUAUACUGUUCUUUUUAAGAAAUUGCUGAUAAUUCAUAUGCCCUCAAACUUGGCUUUGAGAUCAACAAUCCAUCCAUGGCAGAGAAACUUGAACUCAGGGAUGGCAACUACACAUUCAUUCAAAACUCCAUAAAAAGAAAGGUGGGUUUGAGACUGUUUUAGAAAGAAAUGAACCUUAAAAUAUUAUCAUAAAACAAUUAAUCUCUGUACUUAUUGAUACAUUCUUCAGCUAAACCAAAUCCUAAGUGACUCUGACACUUCUGUUGAGUUCAACAAAGCCAAUUUCACGUAUGUAAUGACUUUUUUUUAUACUUUAAUCAGAGCAAUGAUGUGGCUUCAAGUGAGUUAAAAAAAAUCUCCUUUAACUUCCCCCAGGAAAAAUUCCAUGGAGGUCAUUGCUGAUAUUGAUUAUAUUUUCCGGCAACAAGACAUCAAGUCACCCAGUGACUUCCUCCAAGAACUUCUCAAAGUUAUGAAUAGUAUGUAUUCUUUCCAUAUUAUAGAGAUAAAUUAAUUCAGUGUAUGACACUUUAAAAUUAUUAACUACUAUUUCAUGUUUUAAAUAUACUAUAUCUAUCUAUCUAUCUAUCUAUCUAUCUAUCUAUCUAUCUAUCUAUCUAUCUAUCUAUCUAUCUAUCUAUCUAUCUAUCUAUCUAUCUAUCUAUAUUUGAAUAGUGUAUAGCCUACAGUAUAUACAUUUAUGAUAUUAUGAUUUAUUUAUUAUAUGUAUUCUUCUUCUCCUUAAAUAUAUCUCCUAAAAUAUUUGUUUGCACUGCAGGCUUAACAACUCCAGCUCCAACAGGGAAUAAAACAACUCAGAAACCUGUACAAACACCAAAUGUGUAAGUAUAACGUUUCAGAAUAAAUUGUAUUGUGUAAAAGGUAACCAUUUUAUUCAUUAUCUCACUCACCAUUAUUCCUCUUUACCUUCUUUUUUAGGAUUGGGAAGGUGAUUAUUUACAUUCGGCUCAUAUUUAUCACACGGGGCCCUGUACCAAGUGAUGCAAAAAUAUUACAAUUGGCAAACUCUCUGCUGGCCGCACGUUUCAGAAUUAAACGAGAACUAAGGGCACAAAGCUUAGGUACCCCUGUGAGCUUUGUGAAUGUUACUUACACAAGUGAGUUUUCUCUUCUCUGUUCAGUCACCAGUAAACAAAUUUCCGUAUUGCAGUAAAAAUAUAUGUAUUAUUAUUAUUAUUAAUUCAUGUUUUUUUUAAUUUUUUUUAAGAACUUUCUGAUACGUCAUAUUCCCUGAAUUUUGGAUUUGAAAUCAACAAUGUUACCAUGUCUCAGAAACUUGAACUCAGGGAUACAACAUAUAAAUUAAUCCAGGACUCUAUAAAUAAAUUGGUAAGUCUGACACAAUAUGCAUUUAAAAUGCCCUUAUUAUUAUUAUUAUUAUCAAGCUUUGUUUUGGAUUAAGCUCAACUAUUAAGCCCAAAUUCUAUCAUCUUCAAUUUUUAAUAUAACAAUUUUUCAUUGCUGACCUGUUUAGUUGAACGAGAUCCUAACUGAGCCCACAGCCACUCCAUUUGAGUUCAAAGAUACCAAUUUCACGUAAGAUUUAAACUUUUAUUAGAACAGAAAUGUCCAUUGAAAUCUAGUUUAAAUGUGGUUAGAUCAGAUGUAAAGGAACAAGCACAAUGAAAUCUUUUUGAAGGUUCAUUUGCAUCAAUGUAUAUUUUAAUUUCUCCCCAGGGGUAAUUCCACCACUAUUCAGGCUGAUGUACAGUAUGUUUUCUCAGAAAACGACAUCCAGAAACCCAGUGCCUUUCUCUAUGCACUUAUUGUGGUUAAUAAUG